GACGAACGCUGGCGGCGUGGAUUAGGCAUGCAAGUCGAACGGUAUCAUCCUUUCGGGGGUGAGAGAGUGGCGAACUGGUGAGUAACACGUAGGUUAUCUACCCUCAAGACGGGGACAACCCAGGGAAACUUGGGCUAAUACCGGAUGUGAGCAACUUUUAGUUGUUUGAAAGGUGGCGUAAGCUGUCGCUUGGGGAUGAGCCUGCGUCCUAUUAGUUAGUUGGUGAGGUAACGGCUCACCUAGGCAAUGAUAGGUAGGCGGCCUUAACGGGUGGUCGCCCACACUGGGAUUGAGAUACGGCCCAGACUCCUACGGGAGGCAGCAGUCGAGAAUAGUCUACAAUGGUCGGAAGACUGAUAGUGCGACGCCGCGUGAACGAUGAAUCCCUUCGGGGUUAAAGUUCUUUUAUAUGUGAGCAGUGCUUCUUAUAUUAACAGUAUGGGGAAGAGAUAUUAGCAUAUGAAAUAAGCAACGGCUAACUCCGUGCCAGCAAGCCGCGGU
rnacentral:rRNA from 1 species